rnacentral:rRNA from 1 species
AGUGACUUUAUGUUUAACGGCCGCGGUACUCUGACCGUGCAAAGGUAGCGUAAUCACUUGUCUUUUAAAUAAGGACUAGUAUGAAUGGCAUCACGAGGACUUAGCUGUCUCCCUCAUCUAAUCAGUGAAACUGAUCUCCCUGUGAAAAAGCAGGGAUUUUUACAUAAGACGAGAAGACCCUAUGGAGCUUUAAACCAAAAACUACCUGUUUAAUCUACUGUGCUAAGAUAGUACUAAAACAACUGAUCUAGUUUAGGUUUUCAGUUGGGGUGACUGUGGAGAAAAAUAAAUCCUCCAUGCAGACUUAAGCUUUGAGCAACCGCUCUACGCAUUAGCAAGUCUAACUGCACUUGAUCCAAUCUUUUUGAUCAACGGACCAAGUUACCCUAGGGAUAACAGCGCAAUCCAUUUUAAGAGUCCAUAUCGACAAAUGGGUUUACGACCUCGAUGUUGGAUUAGGACACCCGAGUGGUGCAGCCGCUACUUAAGGUUCGUUUGUUC